AGUGAACGCUGGCGGUAGGCCUAACACAUGCAAGUCGAACGGCAGCACAGUAAGAGCUUGCUCUUACGGGUGGCGAGUGGCGGACGGGUGAGGAAUACAUCGGAAUCUACUUUUUCGUGGGGGAUAACGUAGGGAAACUUACGCUAAUACCGCAUACGACCUACGGGUGAAAGCAGGGGAUCUUCGGACCUUGCGCGAUUGAAUGAGCCGAUGUCGGAUUAGCUAGUUGGCGGGGUAAAGGCCCACCAAGGCGACGAUCCGUAGCUGGUCUGAGAGGAUGAUCAGCCACACUGGAAGUGAGAGACGGUCCAGACUCUUACGGGAGGCAGCAGUGGGGAAUAUUGGAAAAUGGGCGCAAGCCUGAUCCAGCCAUACCGCGUGGGUGAAGAAGGCCUUCGGGUUGUAAAGCCCUUUUGUUGGGAAAGAAAAGCAGCAGGUUAAUACCACGCUGUUCUGACGGUACCCAAAGAAUAAGCACCGGCUAACUUCGU
rnacentral:rRNA from 1 species